rnacentral:siRNA from 1 species
AGAGAGUGGUGGUUCUUUGUGU